AAGCCAGCCCUUGAAUCUGCAUACCUGAAUGUGUUUGUGCAGAAAUCCUAGAAAAAGCUGGCAAUAGUAACACCAUGUUACGAGCCUUAAUGACAUUAGUGUCAUUGAGGUCCCUGAAAAUGGUUACAUAU